rfam:Camelus ferus unplaced genomic scaffold scaffold1179, whole genome shotgun sequence.
GGAGACAUAGCUCAAUGGUAGAGCAUGUGCUUUGCGUGCACAAGGUCCUGGGUUCAAUUCCCAGCGCCUCCA